GAGGCUCAGAGAAAGGUAGAUCCCAUUCCGAGUCAGUGGUGAAGCCGACACGGAAACCGGGUGCCCUACUUAGUCUGUAGGUGGGAGAGGUGCAGAGAACGUUCACUUUCCAGCCUAGGGUGGGCGGGGGAGGGUCUGUCCCUAGCCCGCAUGGAUGGGGAGGAUUUGGUGGAGAGGAGGCGCCCUCCUCACCAUCGCCCGGCCUCCCGGGCCACCCUUCGGAUGUCCCCUCCCUUCCUUCACCGACUGUCUCUCGCAGCAGCCCAGACACGUUUCGGACCGGGACCCACGCACAGGCCCCUCCCCGGUCUUGGAAGGCCCUUCCUCUGAGAACAAAGAGAUGUUGGGCCAGAUCAUCUUCCACGCUUCUUCAGCUCCGAGAUAGGAACGCGGUCCCCCACCACUCACAGGCCGGCUGCUCCUCACCCAUCCGGUCUCACUGGGACGCCACGUUCCUCAGGGAAGCCAGUCGGGAACGUUUUUUUUGUUUGUUUGUUUGUUUUUGAGACGGAGUUCUAUGUUAUCCAGGCUGGUGUCGAACUCCUGGGCUCAAGCGAUCCUCCCAACUCGGCCUCCAAAAGUUUACAGGCGUGAGCCACGGUGCCCAGCCUCCUGUGCCUUUUAAUUCACUGAUGCAAUUGUUGAUCCAGCCCUGUCAGCCCCGAGGGUAGGGUCUGAGGUUGCUGCUGUAUCCCUGGCACUCAGUGGAGGCUUGGCCCAAAGAAAGAGGUUUUUUUGUUUUUUUUUUUUUUUCCCAAGACGGGAGUCUCACUCUGUCACCCAGGCUGGAGUGCAGUGGCAUGAUCUCAGCUCACUGCAACCUCUGCCUCCUGGGUUCAAGCGAUUCUUCUGCCUCAGCCUACCGAGUAGCUGGGAUUACAGGCACGUGUCAACACGCCCAGCUAAUUUUUGUAUUUUUAGUAGAGAUGGGUUUUCACCAUGUUGGCUAGGUUGGUCUCAAACUCCUGACCUCAGGUGAUCCACCCACCUCAGCCUCCGAAAGUGCCUGGAUUACAGGCGUAAGCCACUGCGCUCGGCCCAAAGUAAGAGCUUUGAACCUGUCAGCUUUAAGAUUGAGUGAUUGUUUAGAUACUGGAGUACAGCAUCUGGACUCCAGGCCUCCCUGAGGGGUUAUGUGGAGGCCUUUGGCCUGCUGUCCCCACCUGGGGAGUUUGGGGAGAGAUGUGCUUUGAGCCUGGCAUGGUUCGCUCCCUCUGGCAUUUAUCUCCUUGGUUGGUUGGAAGCCCAUCUCCAACUAUGGAGUCUGCCCUCCCAAAGCUGACAAGAGCAACUUUUUUUUUUUUUUUUUUUUUUGAGACGGAGUCUCGCUCUGUCACUCAGGCUGGAGUGCAAUGGCGCGAUUUUGGCUCAUUGCAACCUCCACCUCCUGGGUUCAAGCGAUUCUCCUACCUCAGCCUCCUGAGUAGCUGCGAUUACAGGCACUCACCACCACGCCCAGCUAAUUUUUCUAUUUUUAGUAGAGAUAGGGUUUCUCCAUGUUGGUCAGGGUGACUUCAGGUGAUCUGCCUCCUGCCUCAGCCUCCCAAAGUGCUGGGAUUAUAGGCGUGAGCCACUGUGCCCGGCCAAGAGCAACUUUUUUAAACCUACAGUCCAAUUCUUUUCCCUUAUCUCUCAGGAGACUUUGGGCUCACCUAGGAGCCCACUUUUACCUCCUUCCUCAGUUGUGCAUAUAACAGAGGAAGGGGCAGAAUCGGCCUUCAGGGUUUAAAGGGGCCAUGAGUCGGGGUCAGCCCUGAGGAGGAGUGGGGUGAAUGCUAUCCCAGGAUAGAGAUGGAGCCCUGGUGGCCUGAUUCCUCCUGGCCUGGCCAGUACCACUGAAGCUUCCCAACACCUCCAAGCUUAUUAAAGAACCAGAGUGACUUGCCUGUCCCAGAGAGACUUGGGAUGGUCAGAAACGGGGGUGAGGGGCCCGGGGCAAGCCAAGCCUGUAAAUGAUGGCAGCCUGGGGCUUUAGUUUGGGAACACACUCACACCUCCUACAGGUCAGGCUGCACACUCGUGUUAUUUGAUAACCCCAUCUGCAGGUGAGGAAACUGAGGCGCAGUUAUUUGUCCUCAGGCAUGCUCCUUAGAGGCCACUUGAUUGCAGAGAAGGUCUACAGAGCAGUGGUUAGAACUUGGCCCUGAGGACAGAGCUUUUGCUCCGUAUGAGGCUGGCAGGUAACGAUCUUCUCAGUUUUCUCCCCAGGAAUCUGGAACGAUGAAGGUGAUGAUUGUGCCUGUGGCCAAGACCGGGAGAACCCUGGAUCCCUACACCUUCCCCACCCCUGGAAUGUCACUAUACAUAUCUGACUUCUUCUGAUGUUGCCUUUGACCCUAAAGUCAAUAUGAUAAAGUAACAAGAAGCUGGGACAGAGGAACAAACACAGCCCACUCAAGCAGUGGUGGCAACAUUCUGUUAGAAAGGAGGGGAGUCAAAGAAAAAAACACCCCUCCGCCCAUCUCCUUAUCACCUCCCUAAAGACAGAGGAGAACAUGGACACCCUCCAUCCUGAUAGACAUGCCAUGUGGUCAGUUUGUGCGGUAAACAGGAAAAAAAAAAAACCUAAAGAUAUUGUAGACCUUUAUUUUCUUUAAAUCUCCUAAUAAAAACAUUAAACUUUCAAGAAGAUUCCAAACUGA
rnacentral:lncRNA from 1 species